rnacentral:lncRNA from 1 species
UUAAGGAUUUUAAAUUUUAAAGGAAGGGGGCUGAGGGUCGAAAGGAGGAGAAAAGAGGAUUGUUGGAAAUUUUAGAAGCUUGCUUUGGAGUUUUGAAGGCCACUUAUGAAAUUUUCAUCUUUUUAUACUAAAAAUUUGAAAAAAAUUAGGUCGUGUUUUUAGAUAUCCAACAAGCUAUAGCAUGCAAAAAAUAGAGCUAUGAAGAGGGAGAUCUAAGCAAAUUUGUGAGAAGGAGAUUGCAGCAGUUUUUGGGUGGCAAAAUUCAAGACUGGUUUUAGAU